rnacentral:rRNA from 1 species
UGCCAGCCGCCGCGGUAAUACGGAGGGUGCAAGCGUUAAUCGGAAUUACUGGGCGUAAAGCGCGCGUAGGCGGUUUGGUCAGUUGGAUGUGAAAGCCCAGGGCUUAACCUUGGAACUGCAUUCAAUACUGCCAGGCUAGAGUACGGUAGAGGGGGGUAGAAUUCCACGUGUAGCGGUGAAAUGCGUAGAGAUGUGGAGGAAUACCAGUGGCGAAGGCGGCCCCCUGGAUCGAUACUGACGCUGAGGUGCGAAAGCGUGGGGAGCAAACAGGAUUAGAUA